rnacentral:lncRNA from 1 species
UUUACAUAGAAUUUACAUUGUGUUAGGUAUUAUAAGCAAUCUAGAGAUGAUUUAAAGUAUAUGAGAAUGUAUGUAGGUUAUAUGCAAAUAUGAUGCAUUUCAUAUAGGGGACCUGAGCAUCCCAGGGCUUUGGUAUCUGUGGUAUCAAUCCCUGGUGGAUACAAAGGGAUGACUGUAGAGGAUUAGAUGAUCCCUGAAUACUUUUCAGCUUGGACAUUCUAGGAGCCUUUUCUUCAGCCUCUUGUUCCAAUAAUUCUCACUAUCUUGCUGUGCCUUUGAUCUAGUGUAAAUCACCUUGCACGUUAACUCACCUAUUUUAAUGUGCAAAUUCAUCUCCCAGCAGCAGCGAGAUGAAUUCCGUGUGUGUGGGGGUGUGUGUAUGUGUGUGCUUGUUGCCCGAGGGGAGUUGAGGGAUCUAAAUGAGCAUCCAGAGCUGCUGAAGAUAAGAAGCCCAAACAUAAAGUUGGGGACAGAUGUGACAAUGGAGUGAUGCUCAGGCUGAGCUGAAUCAGCACAUCUGGCAGGCAGCCACCCUCAUUUAAAGCAGUUCCUUCCAACCCGCUGGUGACAGGAGCCCUGCUCCAGAACUGGGGAGAUCUGAGGCUGGGGUGGCUGGCAGAGGUAAUCGGCAGCCCACUGUUCCCUGCUUUGCCAGCACCCUAAGGCUCCCUCCUACCUAAGCCAGGGCUGAGCCUCAGAGCAGCCAAGAAAGCCUGAUCCAGCCCCAGGGCAAAAUCAGACCACAGGGCAGAAUGUCUCCAGGGAGAACUCCUUCAUCAUUUUGCCUUUUUGAAAUUGAGAUCAAAUUAGGAGUCUUAUUAAAAGGAAAUAAGUCAUCCAGCAGCUUCAGGUCACAGAAGCCCAGUGCUUGGCUGGCAUGUGGCCACCCACAGGGCCGGGAGCUGCUGGAGGAGGUGGUGGGCAACUGGAUGUCCCGCUGGGCUAGCACUCCUCUUUCUAGGGCAUCAGGGAGGGUAGGGGGAUGCAGCUCUGGGGCUUUAGGAGAAAAGAACUAAUGACAUCCUGAUGAAUAUAUGAUUGGAGCUACAGUCAUUGCAAUCAACAGGUUUUCCUGAUUAUAAACUGAGGACAAACUGCAAGUAACAGAGGAGUAUCUGUUUGCAAAGAGGAUUUUAGAGCAUUGAUCCUAGCACCUUCCACUUCACACUGGGUCCUGUUGAUGCCCAUGCACCCCUGGCCCCAGGCCCUGACAAGGAGCGCUGCUACCCUAUCCCUGAGCCCUGAGUUGCUCUGAACCCCAUCCCACCCAAGACCAGUGCUCUCAGGCCCUGCUGCCAUGGGGUCAUGUAAGAAGGCAGGCUUCUGGCUGGCAGCUGGCUCUUGGGGGAUCUUCAUGUUUGCCACCAGUCACAGGAGAGAGGGAAAGGUAAACAGAGCCAAAUACAUGCUUGCCUUCAGUGAGACGGAGGACCAAGGAAGAUAAGCAGAUCCGUGAGGGUGGGAGGGGGCAGAUAAUGGGCUCAUGGUCAUUUCUGUUCUCAAAAAGAGUCGCCAUUAAGUAAAUACUUUCUAUCUGUCAGUCACCUAUGCUAGGUACUUCAUGUAUAUUAUAUCCAAACCACAGAAGGAGAGGUAGGUGUUGAUGCUCCCAUUUUAUAGAGAGGAAACUGGGGCUCUGAGAAAUGUGGUGACUUUUCUGCAGGUCACACUUAGUAAGGAGAGGAAUGUUUUACAUGCAGGAAGAGUUAAGAACACAGCUUGGGGUCAAAUUCUGACUCCCCUGCUUCCUGGCUAUGUGAUCCUGGGUGGGAAAGUACUAUUCUGUUUUUAUCUUAUUUACCUGUAAAGUGGAGAUAAUACCCACCUCACAGUCGUUAUGAGGCUUAUGUUAGGGCAGGAUCUUCAAGUUUUGAUAGGGUGCCUAGUGCAGAGCAAAGGCACAAUGCACGGGGGGUGGGGGGGCGGGCAUGGUGGCUCGCAUCUGUAAUCCCAGCACUUUGGGAGGCUGAGGCAGGUGGAUCACUUGAGGUCAGGAGUUCGAGACCAGCCUGGUCAACAUGGUGAAACACCAUAUUUCAUAAAAAUAUGAAAAUUUGGGAUACGGACGCAUGCCUGUAAUCCCAGCUAUGGGAAGCUGAGACAUGAGAAUCACUUGAACCUGGGAGGCAGAGGUUGCAGUGAGCUGAGAUCACACCACUGCACUCCAGCCUGGCCGAUAAAGUGAGGCUCUGUUUCAAAACAAACAAACAAACAAACAAACAAUGCACAGGCAGGCUUUAUUCUUUCUCUCUGCGUGUCUGCAGGAUGCCAGUCUAUGAGGACCAAAAGCUCAUUCCCUGGGAAAGGGAGUCAGCUCUAAAUGGGUUUUCUUCACCUCUGAUUAUUCUCUCCUGUAACGGAACCCUUGGAGAGCCUCUAUUUUCAAGUUAUUUAGAAAAUGAGACCUCUUACUUAAAAAAAGUCAUGUGGUAUUAAAUGUCUUCUUGUCCUCAGAAUAUUAGGUUAGUGCAAAAGAAAUUGCAGUUUUUGUCAUUACUUUUAAUGGCAAAAACUGCAAUUAGUUUUGCACCAACCUAAUACUUCUUAGUCAUACUUCCCCUCAGUUCUCCAAGCCAAGAAGCUCUUAUUUGAACCUAUCCUUAAAAAAGUGUUUACAAUAGCAGCCCGUGACCUGUUGCAGCAUCUCAGCCCCUUCCUAUUGUUUCCUCUCAACUCUGAACCUCAGUCCCACCUUGCGGCGCACUGGAACCACCGUCCUCACGUCAUGUAUGAAGACAGUGAGCAGCUCUGGACUGUCUGUUACCUGCCACCUCUGCUGUGGCUUCAGGAUGGUGAUGGAGUUCCAUCCCGGCCACAUCCUCUUUAGGAUGGAAAAUCCCAGCUCCUCUGCUUGUUGAACCAGAAGACUCUGAUUACCUGGAACAAGCCGUGUCUCCAAGGGUGGUGUCGGGGCUCCUGGCAAGUGGAGAUGAGGCCUUCUGAAAGAUGGCGCUGGUAUUUUCCAUGCUGCCUGGAAGGAGACAGAGCUUCAGGUGCAGCAGACUCUCUUCCAAAUUGGAGAUGACUGCUCUCGGCAGGCACUCUGGAACAAUAAACAUAAUAACGUAAUUUGACAUUCCCCACUCUUUGGGGAAGAGAAUACACCUAUCAUAGCCAUUUUCAAGAGCCAAGAAGGAGGGCAGCCAUAGCAGGGGAAGGCGGGGCCUGAACUUCAAAGGAGACAGGGCUGGUGGUUAUGAACACAAACAGCCUUUCCGUUUUCAAAGCUCCACGGAAUUCUGUGAAAACAGCAACUUUUGCACCCUCUAAUUUUCUUCUUUGUGCUCUGAUUAGCAUCGAGCCGUUCUCCCUUUGCAAUUCAGUAGCCUCUUGAAGGGUGUUUGUUUGCAUGAUAGGACUGAUGGGCAGGUCCUGGCUAGUGGCCUGUCACUUGCUUGCCACCCAGGGCGCCACCACAGAGUGCCCCAGUGAGCUCCCUCCAGCCAUGCGCAGUACAUCAAUCUGAAUGAGGGGCUCAGGCCAUUGAUUUUCUUCCACCGCCCACCCCCGUCACCAAAUGCCAAUUAUUUAUCUCCGUUUCAGAAACGAAGUUCUUAAUUUAAGCCAACAGCUGCCUUACCUGUGAAGAACACUUUCUUUGGGUGUGUUGAAUAACAUCUCCCUGGAGGAGGAGGAUUUCCUUUCCUACAUGCUUCAGAGAAUGGCCAGCUUGAUUCCUUAAAGGACAUGAGCUUCAUCCUUUCCCAGACCCUUCAAACUUAACCCAAAUGACGUCAUAGUUGACACCCUCAAUCUCAAGAUAGAGUCUGGUAAUCUCUUAUAUUUGCGUAGUACUUUAUAAUUCCCAAAGUGCCUUCACCUCCAAAACUUCAUUUAACCUUUACAACAAUGGAGGAGGUAGGUUGGGC